rnacentral:rRNA from 1 species
GUGGGGAAUAUUGGACAAUGGGCGAAAGCCUGAUCCAGCCAUGCCGCGUGUGUGAAGAAGGUCUUCGGAUUGUAAAGCACUUUAAGUUGGGAGGAAGGGCAGUAAGCUAAUACCUUGCUGUUUUGACGUUACCGACAGAAUAAGCACCGGCUAACUCUGUGCCAGCAGCCGCGGUAAUACAGAGGGUGCAAGCGUUAAUCGGAAUUACUGGGCGUAAAGCGCGCGUAGGUGGUUCGUUAAGUUGGAUGUGAAAGCCCCGGGCUCAACCUGGGAACUGCAUCAAAAACUGGCGAGCUAGAGUACGGUAGAGGGUGGUGGAAUUUCCUGUGUAGCGGUGAAAUGCGUAGAUAUAGGAAGGAACACCAGUGGCGAAGGCGACCACCUGGACUGAUACUGACACUGAGGUGCGAAAGCGUGGGGAGCAAACAGGAUUAGAUACCCGGGUAGUCC